rnacentral:rRNA from 1 species
GACGAACGCUGGCGGCGUGCUUAACACAUGCAAGUCGAACGAAAAUACCAAGCUUGCUUGGUUGAUUAGUGGCGAACGGGUGAGUAACACGUGAGUAACCUGCCCCUUACUUUCUGGAUAACUGCUCGAAAGGGUAGCUAAUACGGGAUAUUCUGGCCUUCCUGCAUGGGUUGGUUUGGAAAGGUUUUUUUUCUGGUGAGGGAUGGGCUCGCGGCCUAUCAGCUUGUUGGUGGGGUGAUGGCCUACCAAGGCUUUGACGGGUAGCCGGCCUGAGAGGGUGGACGGUCACACUGGGACUGAGAUACGGCCCAGACUCCUACGGGAGGCAGCAGUGGGGAAUAUUGCACAAUGGGGGAAACCCUGAUGCAGCGACGCCGCGUGAGUGAAGAAGUAUUUCGGUAUGUAAAGCUCUAUCAGCAGGGAAGAUAAUGACAGUACCUGACUAAGAAGCCCCGGCUAACUACGUGCCAGCAGCCGCGGUAAUACGUAGGGGGCAAGCGUUAUCCGGAUUUACUGGGUGUAAAGGGAGCGUAGACGGAAUGGCAAGUCUGAAGUGAAAUACCCGGGCUCAACCUGGGAACUGCUUUGGAAACUGUUGUUCUAGAGUGUUGGAGAGGUAAGUGGAAUUCCUGGUGUAGCGGUGAAAUGCGUAGAUAUCAGGAAGAACACCGGAGGCGAAGGCGGCUUACUGGACAAUAACUGACGUUGAGGCUCGAAAGCGUGGGGAUCAAACAGG